UGACCUGAGCUGAGAUCAAGAAUUUGAUGCUUAACAACUGAGCCAUCCAGGCGCCCCUGAAAUCCCUCCUUUGAAGUCAAGAUUGUCUUGCUAAAAUUUUAUUCCCUGCUGCACUUUCAGUAUCCAGGUAAGGGGUACCGCUUUAGAGUGGACUCUUAGACCGUGGGAGUUAAGGGGCCCCUGUGAAGUAUGACAGGAGGCCGGGGCACUGCCUUAGGUUCGAACCCACUUGCUGCGCACCCACCUUUCGCCCCACCACACUGGCCGUUUUCCCUGGCAUUGGUGUAAGAGUCCAGGAGAUGACAGGCUGGUCUUCUUUUUGACUUAGUUUUCUUUCUGACAUGAGUACAGAGCAGGUUCCUGAGCCUAACAUUUUCAUAAUGUGUAAGAGGAGGAAUCAGAGAUUGCUUUUUAUUCUUACUUUUCUUCACAUAGUCCUAUUGUUUCUUCUUCCUAACUUCCUUGUCUUUGAGCAAGUACUGGCACUCAUAUUACAAUAGGAUGGUGUCAGUCUACCAGACAGCAGUAUAAGCUAAGUAUAAUAGGUUUAUUAUAAGAAAAUUAACAGCUUUUAUUGGACUUUGUUAGAAAUCCAAAUUAAGGACAUAGAUUCUGUCAUAGCAUUUAGUCUUAAAUUUUAGAGUUUUAAAGAAAUGAUUUAGAGUGUACUCUAUUUUUCAGUGUUGAAAUUUGUAUUUAAAAAUCUUAAGAGUUCAAGGUUUUUAUGUUUUGUGGAGAUGUAAGUACACAAAAUGAAUAUGUUGCUGAGCUGAACACUUGACUGUGGUGUGGUCAUGGGGCACAGCAGCUAUUUAUUGGCAAGUAUGCACUGACCAUGAUUAUAUCCCAGGCACAGCGGAUACUAAAGUGCUGGACAUAAGGGGCGUUCACAGUCUAGUGGGAGAUAGAGGGUGUAGACAGAUGCAACAGCGUGUCGGUAGGGAAGUGUGAACUAAGUGUUGCAAUCGAUCAGAAUAUUCCAGUUAAUUCAUUGUUGCCAUUUAUGUGCUACAUGGAUUUCCAAUUUUUAAAGCGUUUGAACGCAGUAAUAUAUACUUAAUUUUAAAACUUCUUUGAAUGUAAUUUAACCAUUGAAAAUUCCUAAAACACAGAGGAUUUAUACAAUGCCUAAGGAUCAUUAUUAUGAACACAUACGGCGGAUGUCUGUAACACAUCGAUCUUGUUAAUAGAAUGUUAAAUUGAAGGGUUUGCUGGGCUAGUCCUCAUGACAUUUAAGCCUUAUUUCUGAUUGCGAUUUUAGUUUCUCUCCUUGAACAAAAGCCUGGGAAGCACUUGAGCCAUUCAUUCCUUCAUUCAGUGAAAACCCACUAAAUGUCGACUACAUGCCAGACGCCAGGAGCAAAGCUGGGAGCUGUUACAAUGUGCCUUACAUGCCAGUCAUUCUCUGCCUAUGUUACUAAGGAAGCAGGAAGGACGUGGAAUGUCAGGCACUGAGAGAUUGAAGAACCUAACCAAGGUCAUACAGUAGACAGAGCAGAGCCAGAUUCAGAUUCCAGAAGAGCACUAGGCAGGUUGGCUUUUAGUUACUAUUAUGUACAUUAAAUGUGCUUUUAUGGGUGCUAUGCUCUUGAUUGCCCACAGCUAUAAUUCGCCAGCCCAGAAUCUCCCAUUUGGUUUUUUGUUUGUAUUACUGUUAUUUAUUAAGACUAUUGAGAUGUAAUUGACGUAUUACUCUUUGGUGUUUGACUUCUCACUAAUGGGUCGCAAAGUCUCAAGAGUUAUCUUUCCUGAAUCAAAAAGAGUUAAUUCUGA